UUGUAAAGAAAAUGUAUAACGUGUGGCUCUUUUUCUUUUGUAAUACACCCAGCUGCAACGCAAUGUAAAAUAAAUUCCUGAAAACUGAAAACCAUAUAUUUUCACAAGCUUUUGUCGCUAGGGUAAACCCAAAUACUUGAAAAUCCCUCAAUUUUCAUCUACCUAUUUAAUUUCUAAGUUAAACAUCUUUCAACUACUUCAGCCAAAAAAAUCCAAUGCCUUACCAGUAGUCCAAACAGGAACACAUGCCAUUACUGAAAUGGUGAAACCGGUAUGCAUCCCUUAAUAUGAUUUUCCUGCCAAUUGUUUGACUAACCAUCUUGAAAACAGAGUGGCAAUCACCACAGACACGGAGAUUCUUAAAAAUUCUAAUAGGUGAGCCUUCUGGACUAUUGAUCAACCCAAAUGCAAGGGCAAUUCUCUCACUAUGGUUCCAAAGGUUAUGCUCCUUUUGUUCUUCAUCUGUAUCUUGCAAUGAAUAACUAGUAUCAGACAUUUGAAUAAAGAACAUAGGCUGAAUCAUCUGAUAAGUCAAGUUGGAAAAGGCGGUGAGCAGCUUUCCUUGCAAGCUCCAAAUUGCCAUGUAUUUUACAAGAAGCCAACAGUGUACGCCACACAAGGUCAUUUGGUGGAACUGACAUCUUAUUAAUGAAACUGUCAGCCUCAGCAAGCCUUCCUGCUCGCCCAAGAAGGUCAAUUAUGCAUACACAAUGUUCUAUUCCAAUGGGGACACAGAAUUCGGUAGACAUUGAAGAGAAGUAUGCAAGGCCCUCAUCCACCAAACCCCCAUGGCUGCAUGCAGACAAAAGUGAAACAAAAGUGACAUGAUCUGGUCUCAGUCCUAGAUCAAGCAUCUCAUGAAAGGCUUCCCUAGCCUGUUGAAAAAAACCAUGCCUGGCUAAUGCUGAUAUUAAAAUGUUCCAAGAUCUAUGUGACCUGCUUCGUGGUUGGGGAAGGAUCCUAAAAACAUCAUCAAUUUCCCCACAUUUUCCAUACAUAUCCAUUGUUGCAUUUAACACGUAAUCAUUGGUGUCAAACCCGUGUUUGAUAAUCAAACCAUGAAGCUGCUGACCUUCAUCCAGUAAAGUUAAGUUUCCAAUAAUGGCAAGAGCUACGGAGAAGCUAAACUGAUCUAAAUGAAUCUCGUCAUUCCUCAUCUUUACUAUAAGCUUUAGUGCCUCCUCACCAGGUCCAUAAUGAGCAUUUGCAGACACAAUGGCAUUCCAAGUACUAGAAUUCUUGUUAGCUAAUUCAUCAAAAAUAUAGUUACUUGUAUUAAGGUCACCACAUUGGGCAUACAUUGUAAUUAGGGAGCUUUGGACAAAUGUAUCUAAUUCAAAGCCCGCUACUACUAUAUGUGCAUGAACGGGCAUUCCGUGUUCCAAAAGGUUAUCGGGAGACAAACAAGCACUGAGAAGAUUAACAAUGGUAAUG
rnacentral:sRNA from 1 species